rnacentral:rRNA from 1 species
GAUGAACGCUGGCGGCGUGCCUAAUACAUGCAAGUCGAGCGAGCAGACGAGGAGCUUGCUCCUCUGACGUUAGCGGCGGACGGGUGAGUAACACGUGGAUAACCUACCUAUAAGACUGGGAUAACUUCGGGAAACCGGAGCUAAUGCCGGAUAAUAUAUUGAACCGCAUGGUUCAAUAGUGAAAGACGGUUUUGCUGUCACUUAUAGAUGGAUCCGCGCCGCAUUAGCUAGUUGGUAAGGUAACGGCUUACCAAGGCAACGAUGCGUGGCCGACCUGAGAGGGUGAUCGGCCACACUGGAACUGAGACACGGUCCAGACUCCUACGGGAGGCAGCAGUAGGGAAUCUUCCGCAAUGGGCGAAAGCCUGACGGAGCAACGCCGCGUGAGUGAUGAAGGUCUUCGGAUCGUAAAACUCUGUUAUUAGGGAAGAACAAAUGUGUAAGUAACUAUGCACGUCUUGACGGUACCUAAUCAGAAAGCCACGGCUAACUACGUG